GCGGCACAGCAAAGUCUUUUCGGUAUAAGUGAAAGUAUAGGAGAAUAUAUCAAAUAAUUAUAUCAACAUUUGCCAGGUUCCAUUACUUUUGAAAUCCUUUCAGUUGCACACAGAGAGUCAAAUCUGAAUUGGCAUGUUUCCAAUAAUGUGAAAUAGUCCAGUUUCCAUUCCACUGAAUUCUCAUAUCCGAGACUAUAUAUAUUGCGCGAUCAUUUAAAACCUAUAAAUCAAAAAUAAAAAAGCCAAAUGAUGAUAACAUUCCGCUAUUGAUUAAAAAUGUGUAAAAUAUGUCUUUUCGCAGUUGUGCAGAUGCAGAAGCUGCAACAAAAAACAUUUUUUUUUUGGUGUGCUUUCCAUGAAAAAGGAAAAUUUAUGGUAUCGAAGAUGGUAAUCAGUGUUAUGGUACAGUGUGUGUGAGAGUCAAAGAAAUUAUGAUCGUUGACUACAUUGACGUAUUGUUCAUUCGGUGCUCUUGCAAUAAGUGAUGAAACGACGGACUCAGAUUCAGUGCAUAAACGAUAGCUGAGUUCGGUGAUAGCUGAGAGAGACUAUCUUCCGUAACGAAUGUCGUGUUAAUUUUAUUUGCUCUUCAUUUUCUUUUCCGAACCGUCUGUACACCAGUCCGUCCGAACAAACAGAACACAACGGAAUAACACUAAUAAUACCAUAACAAUCCACGCAAUUGGGCAAUUGGACUAACAGAAAUGGACCAUCUCAUCCUUCACGGUUUAUAUAUGCUCCAACUAAUAUUUACAAUUGACAUUACCAUUAGAUGUGAAAGAAAAAAAAAAUGCGCUCUGAGAAAACGGCUGCUAAAUAAAGAUAAAAAGGAUAAAUGCCCAUCA